rnacentral:rRNA from 1 species
AUUGAACGCUGGCGGAAUGCUUUACACAUGCAAGUCGAACGGCAGCACGGGGGCAACCCUGGUGGCGAGUGGCGAACGGGUGAGUAAUACAUCGGAACGUGCCCAGUCGUGGGGGAUAACGUAGCGAAAGCUACGCUAAUACCGCAUACGAUCUACGGAUGAAAGCGGGGGAUCGCAAGACCUCGCGCGAUUGGAGCGGCCGAUGGCAGAUCAGGUAGUUGGUGGGGUAAAGGCUCACCAAGCCUUCGAUCUGUAGCUGGUCUGAGAGGACGACCAGCCACACUGGGACUGAGACACGGCCCAGACUCCUACGGGAGGCAGCAGUGGGGAAUUUUGGACAAUGGGCGAAAGCCUGAUCCAGCCAUUCCGCGUGCAGGAUGAAGGCCCUCGGGUUGUAAACUGCUUUUGUACGGAACGAAACGGCCUUUUCUAAUACAGAGGGCUAAUGACGGUACCGUAAGAAUAAGCACCGGCUAACUACGUGCCAGCAGCCGCGGUAAAGUA